CCUACGGGAGGCAGCAGUGGGGAAUCUUGGGCAAUGGAGGCAACUCUGACGCAGCAACGCCGCGUGAAUGAUGAAGGUCUUCGGAUCGUAAAGUUCUGUGAUGGGGGAUGAACACAAUGACGGUACCCCAAUAGCAAGCCACGGCUAACUACGUGCCAGCAGCCGCGGUAAUACGUAGGUGGCAAGCGUUAUCCGGAAUGACUGGGCGUAAAGGGUGCGUAGGUGGGUUAGUAAGUUGGCGGUGUAAUUCCGGGGCUCAACCUCGGCGCUACCGCCAAAACUAUUAGACUAGAGGGCAGGAGGGGUAAGUGGAAUUCCUAGUGUAGCGGUGGAAUGCGUAGAUAUUAGGAGGAACAUCAGGGGCGAAGGCGACUUACUGGACUGUAACUGACACUGAGGCACGAAAGCGUGGGGAGCAAACAGGAUUAGAUACCCUGGUAGUC
rnacentral:rRNA from 1 species